GUCAGCACAUGAAUUUCUAUAACAUCCAGGGCCGUCCGAAGAUCAGCAGUGAAUACAUUGACAUUGAGAUUCUCUUGAGAGCAACAAAAUGUCCAAAGUCAACUGCAACAGACCAUCGGGCUGACUGUAUUUUCAUGGACAAGAGGCCAUUCAUUAACUGUAGAGUUUGCAGCAGACAGUCUGGUAAUGAUCUUACACAUCCAUCAAAUGACUGUGUACCAAACAAGAAAGUGGAUGAAG